rnacentral:rRNA from 1 species
UACGUAGGGUCCGAGCGUUGUCCGGAAUUACUGGGCGUAAAGAGCUCGUAGGUGGUUUGUCGCGUUGUCCGUGAAAACUCACAGCUUAACUGUGGGCGUGCGGGCGAUACGGGCAGACUGGAGUACUGCAGGGGAGACUGGAAUUCCUGGUGUAGCGGUGGAAUGCGCAGAUAUCAGGAGGAACACCGGUGGCGAAGGCGGGUCUCUGGGCAGUAACUGACGCUGAGGAGCGAAAGCGUGGGGAGCGAACAGGAUUAGAUACCCCCGUAGUCC